CCUACGGGUGGCAGCAGUAGGGAAUAUUGCUCAAUGGGGGAAACCCUGAAGCAGCAACGCCGCGUGGAGGAUGAAGGUUUUCUGAUUGUCAACUCCUUUUGUUAGAGAAGAUAAUGACUGUAUCUACCGAAUACUCCCCGGCUAACUCCGUUCCAGCAGCCGCGGUAAUACGGAGGGUGCAAGCGUUACUCGGAAUCACUGGGCGUAACGAGCGCGUAGGCGGGAUAGAAAGUCAGAGGUGAAAUCCUAUGGCUUAACCAUAGAACUGCAUUUGAAACUGUUAGUCUAGAGUAUGGGAGAGGUAGGUGGAAUUCUUGGUGUAGGGGUAAAAUCCGUAGAGAUCAAGAGGAAUACUCAUUGCGAAGGCGACCUGCUAGAACAUAACUGACGCUGAUGCGCGAAAGCGUGGGGAGCAAACAGGAUUAGAUACCCCUGUAGUC
rnacentral:rRNA from 1 species